UCGCCAGACUCCUACGGGAGGCAGCAGUGGGGAAUAUUGCACAAUGGGGGAAACCCUGAUACAGCGACGCCGCGUGAGUGAAGAAGUAUUUCGGUAUGUAAAGCUCUAUCAGCAGGGAAGAAGAAGGACGGUACCUGAGUAAGAAGCUCCGGCUAACUCCGUGCCAGCAGCCGCGGUAAUACGGAGGAUGCGAGCGUUAUCCGGAUUUAUUGGGUUUAAGGGGUGCGUAGGCGGGAAACCAAGUCAGCUGUGAAAACUACGGGCUUAACCUGUAGACUGCAGUUGAAACUGGCUUUCUUGAGUGAAGUAGAGGUUGGCGGAAUUCCGAGUGUAGCGGUGAAAUGCGUAGAUAUUCGGAGGAACACCGGUGGCGAAGGCGGCCAACUGGGCUUUAACUGACGCUGAGGCUCGAAAGUGUGGGGAGCAAACAGGAUUAGAUACCCCAGUA
rnacentral:rRNA from 1 species